AUUGAACGCUGGCGGCAUGCCUUACACAUGCAAGUCGAACGGCAACAGGUCUUCGGAUGCUGACGAGUGGCGAACGGGUGAGUAAUACAUCGGAACGUGCCUAGUAGUGGGGGAUAACUACUCGAAAGAGUGGCUAAUACCGCAUGAGAUCUACGGAUGAAAGCAGGGGAUCGCAAGACCUUGUGCUACCAGAGCGGCCGGUGGCAGAUUAGGUAGUUGGUGGGAUAAAAGCUUACCAAGCCGACGAUCUGUAGCUGGUCUGAGAGGACGAUCAGCCACACUGGGACUGAGACACGGCCCAGACUCCUACGGGAGGCAGCAGUGGGGAAUUUUGGACAAUGGGCGAAAGCCUGAUCCAGCAAUGCCGCGUGCAGGAUGAAGGCCUUCGGGUUGUAAACUGCUUUUGUACGGAACGAAAAGCCCCGGGUUAAUACCCUGGGGUCAUGACGGUACCGUAAGAAUAAGCACCGGCUAACUACGUGCCAGCCGCCGCGGUAA
rnacentral:rRNA from 1 species